AUUCCAUCAAUAGCGAUGAAUCUCAUCUUCUCCCUAACCUGUUUUUUCGAUUCUUACCUCAAUCGACCAUUUCUCAUGACAUGGGAACUGCUGAGUUCAAAAAAUCUAUGGUUCGUUGUCAGAACUACAAGGUGAAAACGAAGAUUCAAGUUUAUUUUAGAUCCACCUAUGAAGAUUCAGAAACAGAUUUGAUUACAAAACCCUAAAAUCAAUCAAGUUGAAGGCUUUAAUCUUGAAUUGGAGAAUUAGAAUGGAGAGAAAGUGAAGGUGGGUACUGAAGACUACCAACGGUAUGGUUCGUUCGUAAUUAAUCGCUCGGAUCCGGCCAUGGGGAAAGAUCGAACAACAUAUGUGUUAUAGGAUACAAUGGGAAUCGGCUCAUAGGUGUGAAGGGUGGAAAUCACGGUCUGAUGAAGAGACUGGAAAGGUUCACGGAUCAUUGGAUCAUGCCAGAAAAGUGUGAGGCCAAACACUUAAGGUGGCCAAGCAGGCCAAGAAGAAGCAGUGCGCCUUAGGGAUGCGCUCACAAGCGUAUUCAGUACAACCGUCGUUUCGCCACUUUUGUUGUUGGUCUUUGGAAGAAGAAGGGAUCUUACUCAUUAGAGAAGUAAACAAAUGUUCAGUUUCAAUAUGGGAAUCCCGAUAAACUUUGCACCCCUAUGAUAGAAGCUAAGAAGGCCGAAGAUGAUUUAGUGAAAGCCUACACAAACUACAUAAAGGAAUAUUACGUUGGAAGUUUUGGUGCUGAAGUUGAAACAUAUAACCAAGAAAGCCUAAAAAAACCACCCUGAGUGACUCAUCUGGUGAUCGGUUAUGGUGGUUCCAAGUUUGUACUGAAGUUGCAUAUUUCCAAGUGGCACCUGCAAACAAUAGCAUUCGCUCUUCAAAAGUUGACACAAGGCAUGAACACUACCGUCUUUCGUAUUAUUAAAAUCAUUUCCAUGAUUUUUUAUUGUUACAGCACACACCACGGGUCUAU